GAGUUUGAUCCUGGCUCAGAACGAACGCUGGCGGCGUGGAUAAGACAUGCAAGUCGAACGGGAUAACAUCUGUAGCAAUACAGGUGUUAUUUAGUGGCGAACGGGUGCGUAACACGUGGGCAAUCUGCCAAGAAGUGGGGGAUAGCUCGCCGAAAGGCGAAUUAAUACCGCAUAUGAUCAGCUAAGACAUCUUAGCGACAUCAAAGCCGGGGUAACCUGGCGCUACUUGAUGAGCCCGCGGCCUAUCAGCUAGUUGGUGAGGUAAUGGCUCACCAAGGCAUUGACGGGUAGCUGGUCUGAGAGGACGACCAGCCACACUGGAACUGAGACACGGUCCAGACACCUACGGGUGGCAGCAGUCGAGAAUUUUUCACAAUGGGGGCAACCCUGAUGGAGCGACGCCGCGUGGAGGAUGAAGGCUUUCGGGUUGUAACUCCUGUCAUUUGAGAACAAGUGUAGCUAAGUAACUACUGGCUACUUGAUAGUAUCAGAAGAGGAAGAGACGGCUAACUCUGUGCCAGCAGCCGCGGUAAUACAGAGGUCUCAAGCGUUGUUCGGAUUCAUUGGGCGUAAAGGGUGCGUAGGUGGCGGGGAAAGUCAGGUGUGAAAUUUCGGAGCUCAACUCCGAAACUGCAUUUGAUACUGCCUUGCUUGAGGACUGGAGAGGAGACUGGAAUUUACGGUGUAGCAGUGAAAUGCGUAGAGAUCGUAAGGAAGACCAGUGGCGAAGGCGGGUCUCUGGACGGUUCCUGACACUGAGGCACGAAGGCCAGGGGAGCAAACGGGAUUAGAUACCCCGGUAGUCCUGGCAGUAAACGGUGCACGUUUGG
rnacentral:rRNA from 1 species